rnacentral:lncRNA from 1 species
GGGGGAGGCUUUAAACCACGGCUUUAUUUUUAGAUCCAGUAAUUUUAUCUUUUGGGUUUCGGAGGGGUUUGGAAAGAAAGAGAGAGAGGGAAAAAAAAAAAAAAAAGCCUUUUUUUUUCUUUUAAUUCUUUUUCUCCACUUUCGCCACACGAACGGCUCUCAGAGCAGAAAGUUACGGGGAAAAAAAAUAGCGAAAACUUGGAGAUAUUUUCCCUCCUCAUUUACUUUUUCUUCGCAAACAGCGGUGCUUUUGGGGGGGACCUUUUCCUCCUUUUUUUUUUUUUUUUUUUCCUUGCUGGUGUAUCGCCGCGCGUUUCGCCUCCACAAUAGGUUUAUUCUCCAGCCCUCCGGGUCGAAGUGUGUUUCAGUUACAAAUCGGGAUUUUUUCGCUCCUCUCUCCCCUCUCUGCCUCAGAGGAUCUGCAGUUUCAAAAAGCCGAUUGAACACGGCGUGAAAGCGUGAGGCUGACGACUCCCCCGCCUCCUACCGCCACUCUCUCUAGGUACUUCAUUUUAGAAUAUACUUUUUUUCUCGCGGCAAAAAAAGAGAGAAAAAAGAUUUUCCCUCCGCCAAACGUUCUAAAAUCUUUUUCAAUAUAUCCCUGUAUCUUUACUGUUUGAAUUUUUUCCCGUUCUCACACUCUCACGGGAGCGCAGUCCUCGUUCCGUGCCCCGCAAGGAGGAGCCCCCCGCGGAACCCCUGGCGCAUCGCAUCCCCGCUUUCCCCCCCUCAUGUCCCCAGCACCUCGCACCCCUCGUGGAUGUCACCAGCAUCGCAGUUUCAAGGCUGGGGAUGGUGCUCCCAGCUCAGCCGGGCGCUUUCAUUCAUAAAAUGGCAAGCCAGGGUUACAAGGCAACUCUUCCCCCUCUCUGCAGACCUUUGAGAGGGGAAUGAGCUCUUCUGCACAUCCAGAUGUCUGCUGUUGUUUGUCCGGUCUCUUCCCACUGGGGGGCACAGGACUCCAUUCUCCAGCAGAUCUGUUCCAGGCAUCUCUUUAUGUCAAGGCAAAGGUAAUUUGGACAUCUAAGUUUUGUUUUGUUUUUCUUUCAGAUUGUAUCCAUGAAUGUGUGUAUAAUGAACCCAGAAGGAAUGCAGCACUAAAAGAAGCCUUUGUAAUGUUGCUAUUUUAAGGAGACCCUUGGGUAUGGCACGUGUUGAACUGAGUUUCUCCAACAUCUUACAACAAACCAAAAUGUUUAGAUCCUCCUACUGAUGUAAGACAGCAUAAAAAAAAUACAUAAUCAAUCUAAACUGGCUAAGGUUUUGACCAGGAAUUAUUGCUCCUGUGAAUUGGCUCUGUAUUGUAGCUAACUUUUACACAGCCUAAUAAUAAACAUCUCCUCCUCCCAGCUGGGUGAAUGUUUCCCCUCUGCUGGAGAUCAGGUCCCAGUCUGGAUAAAACACCUCUUGUCCUUUCUCUCCUCGGUCACUCAGGUUCAGUGAAACAUCAUGACUUACAUCAGCCAAAGCCUUUGAUCAGGGAGGGAAAGGUCUGACAUGGAUGGGGUUGGCAGCCACGCUGCAAGAAUCCCUCAUUGUGCAAGAAGCCAGUCCAAUGACCGACUGUCACCAAGGGUGAGACAGCCUUUUCUGCUCUGUUUGCUCUGUUUUCACUUGGCUAUUGCUGGCGUUUUGUUUGCAAAAUCAAGGCCAAAAUAUACAAGAAGCAGCUUCGAACAUGUUGGGUUUGUGCAUUAAGCCAGAUAGCCAUCAUGAAUUUCUGGCCAUUUUUGUUGUAUGUGUUGUAAAGAGCAGAAUUUUGCUGUCAGCAUUUUGUUUUCACAUGGUCAGAGAGGAGAAGGAGUAUAAUAGAGGUCCAAUUGACACUGUUUACACAAAGAUGAAGUCGUAACUCUUGGCUGAGAUGACUGUGGAAGUGGUGUGUGAUGGCUUCUUUGUUGGCUCUUUAAGAAAACAUCUGCUCUGGAUCUCGUGGACAAAAUCUAGGGUGAAAAAUUCUCUCAUUGCAAAAUGAGAAGCCGGAUGAAAAGCCCAGAGAAGCUGUGGGUGCUCCAUCUCUGGAGGUGCUCAAGGCCAGGUUGGAUGGGGCCCUGGGCUGCCUGAUCUGGAAGGUGGUAAUCCUGCCCAUGGCCCCGGGUUGGGGCUGGAUGACCUUUGAGGAUGUUUCCAGCCUAGGCCGUUCUAUGAUUCUAUGAGUUUCUCCAAUAGCAUCCAGCACUCAAGGAACAGGGCUGCUUUGGAAAUGUAUGUCAGAAUAAGAAAAAUACAUUUUUUGUACUCACACAUUGAACAGCGAAUGAAUGCUCAAGAAGAAUGAGGGUGAGAAUUGAAUCCAUUAAAACACUUUCUGGGACAAUAUUUUUGCUUUCAGCAGCUUUCUCUUCUGCUUUGCUUCAAUUCCUUCUAAACUCUGCUCCCCUUCCUCCAGGUGGUAUGAAAUAAAAAACAGUAAUAAAUAGAUUUUUCUAUAU